UCGGGAAUUUUGGGCAAUGGGCGAAAGCCUGACCCAGCAACGCCGCGUGAGGGAUGAAGGCCUUCGGGUCGUAAACCUCUUUUCUCAGGGACGAUGAUGACGGUACCUGAGGAAUAAGCCACGGCUAACUACGUGCCAGCAGCCGCGGUAAUACGUAGGUGGCGAGCGUUGUCCGGAUUUACUGGGCGUAAAGAGCGCGCAGGCGGUCGUACAAGUCGAAUGUGAAAGCCCCCGGCUCAACUGGGGAGGGUCAUUCGAUACUGUUCGACUCGAAGGCAGGAGAGGGAAGUGGAAUUCCCGGUGUAGUGGUGAAAUGCGUAGAUAUCGGGAGGAACACCAGUGGCGAAGGCGACUUCCUGGCCUGUUCUUGACGCUGAGGCGCGAAAGCUAGGGGAGCAAACGGG
rnacentral:rRNA from 1 species